rnacentral:rRNA from 1 species
UCGAGAAUUUUUCUCAAUGGGGGAAACCCUGAAGGAGCGACGCCGCGUGGAGGAUGAAGGCUUUCGGGUUGUAAACUCCUGUCAUUUGGGAACAAGGCGCCGAUAUUAACUGUAUCGGCGUUGAUAGUACCAGAAGAGGAAGAGACGGCUAACUCUGUGCCAGCAGCCGCGGUAAUACAGAGGUCUCAAGCGUUGUUCGGAUUCAUUGGGCGUAAAGGGUGCGUAGGUGGCGCUGUAAGUCGGGUGUGAAAUUUCGGAGCUUAACUCCGAAACUGCAUUCGAUACUGCGGUGCUUGAGGACUGGAGAGGAGACUGGAAUUCAUGGUGUAGCAGUGAAAUGCGUAGAGAUCAUGAGGAAGACCAGUGGCGAAGGCGGGUCUCUGGACAGUUCCUGACACUGAGGCACGAAGGCCAGGGGAGCAAACGGG